UUGACCUCAAAUCGGGGUGAGACUACCC
rnacentral:rRNA from 1 species